UUUCCGUAGGUGAACCUGCGGAAGGAUCAUUCAUAAUAAAGUGUUUUAUGGCGCUUUUUAAAAAUCCAUAUCCACCUUGUGUGCAAUGUUAGAUCUCGUCAAUCUUGGCGAGAUUUUUAUACAUCAACUCAUUCUUUAACUAAUUUGUCUGAAAAAUAUUAUGAAUACUUAGUUCAAAAUACAACUUUCAACAACGGAUCUCUUGGCUCUC
rnacentral:misc_RNA from 1 species